CCAUUAUCCUAAAGGUCGGUAGCAAUAACGUUCAACCGACGGUACAACCUGGUCAGCAACCGCAAUUAGUGCAAUAGAUCCAAGCCAAAUGUAAAAGACCAUUGACCAACUGCAAAAAAGAUAGCAACAGCACAUUCUAGCACAGUAGCAGCAGCAUACUAUACUGUACCAUGCGGUGUGCAGGAGGACUUUUUUAUUCAGUUGGUGCGGCAAGAUCGAACACCAACAACAUAAUAUCAUGGUAAUCACCCAGCAAGAGAACGCAGUGAUAAUGGGUCAACAGAAAACACAACAUCAAUAUGCUCGGAAUGGACUUUCUCUUUCGAACAAACAUAAUGGCACGUCAUGUUCAAUCGGCUAACCGUUUGGAAUAAGCGCUCAUCAUCGGUUUCAUGGCAGGGAAGUGAGCAGGCAAAAGAAGGCAUCGUUUUUUCCGCAAGGUCGCUCUGGUCAAAAUUUCAGCGAAUUGCAAGGAAUAAACCACCCGAGGGACAGUAACCGUGCUGAUUCAGGACGAUUUCCCAUACUUUGUACCUUGCUAUUGAAUUUUAAUACCUGAUCGAAACGAUGGCAAGCGCUGCUGAUAGCUGGGUCAAAAAGACGACGGAUCAAGAAA